GACGAACGCUGGCGGCGUGCCUAAUACAUGCAAGUAGAACGCAGUUGCGAACGGGUGAGUAACGCGUAGGUAACUGCCUCAUAGCGGGGGAUAACUAUUGGAAACGAUAGCUAAUACCGCAUACUGUGAGAUGGACCUGCGUUGUAUUAGCUAGUUGGUGAGGUAAAGGCACACCAAGGCGACGAUACAUAGCCGACCUUAGAGGGAGAUCGGCCACACGGGGAAGGAGACAAGGCCCAGACUCCUACGGGAGGCAGCAAUAGGGAAACUGCGGAAAUGGGCGGAAGUCUGACCGAGCAACGCAGCGUGAGUGAAGAAGGUUUUCGGGUCGUAAAGCUCGGUUGAUAGGGAAGAGGUAACUAAAGAGAAAGGGACGGCUAACUACGUGCCAGCAGCCGCGGUAAUAC
rnacentral:rRNA from 1 species